GGAGGUUUCUCCGAAGCUGGCCGAAGAGUCUCGAGAGAUUCGGCGCCCGACGAAGGCCGCCAGGCACCAAGAGAAGGCCAGGGGUUCGAAUCCCCUCAGCUCCACCA
rnacentral:tRNA from 1 species